GGCACUGUGGCUGAGCGGUAAAGUGUUUGACUCCCAAACCAAAGGUCCCAGGUUCGAAUCCUGGUAUUUUCA
rnacentral:tRNA from 1 species